rnacentral:misc_RNA from 1 species
AAGUCGUAACAAGGUUUCCGUAGGUGAACCUGCGGAAGGAUCAUUAACACGAAACUCCACGUUUCAUACCAACCUGUGGUCUUGUAACUUUCAGUUUUUUGGAACCCAAGAAGUUUUUUUUGUCAAAGAAAAAGCUUUUUGAUCCGAAGAAUUUUUUUAUAAAACCCCUUGUAUCAUCUAUUGACUGAACCAAUAGAAGUUUUUGAGUACCCUGUUAACUCGGGGCGCUCGCUUCUUGAUAUUACGAAACUCUGAACAACUCUAAGCAACGGAUAUCUUGGUUCUC